GCUUGCUUUCUUUGCCGGCGACCGGCGCACGGGUGAGUAACACGUAUCCAACCUGCCCUUUACUCGGGGAUAGCCUUUCGAAAGAAAGAUUAAUACCCGAUGGCAUAAUGAUUCCGCAUGGUUUCAUUAUUAAAGGAUUCCGGUAAAGGAUGGGGAUGCGUUCCAUUAGGUUGUUGGUGAGGUAACGGCCCACCAAGCCUUCGAUGGAUAGGGGUUCUGAGAGGAAGGUCCCCCACAUUGGAACUGAGGCACGGUCCAAACUCCUACGGGAGGCAGCAUG
rnacentral:rRNA from 1 species